rnacentral:rRNA from 1 species
UUGCCUACGGGAGGCAGCAGUAGGGAAUAUUGCGCAAUGGAGGAAACUCUGACGCAGCGACGCCGCGUGAGUGAUGAAGGCUUUCGGGUUGUAAAGCUCUGUUCUCAGGGAAAAAGAAAGUGAUGGUACCUGAGAAGAAAGGACCGGCUAACUUCGUGCCAGCAGCCGCGGUAAGACGGGGGGUCCAAGCGUUGCUCGGAAUCAUUGGGCGUAAAGGGGGCGUAGGUGGCUUUGUAAGUCAGAAGUGAAAGCCCUGGGCUCAACCCGGGAAGUGCUUUUGAUACUGCGAAGCUUGAAUGUGGUAGAGGAUAGUAGAAUUCCUAGUGUAGUGGUGAAAUACGUAGAUAUUAGGAGGAAUACCUGUGGCGAAGGCGGCUAUCUGGACCAACAUUGACACUGAGGCCCGAAAGCGUGGGGAUCAAACAGGAUUAGAUACCCUUGUAGUC